CUUACACAAGCAUUUAUAAUGGACAUGGACUUUGUUUAGGACUAUAGAGCCAACUGAGGAAGCCACAAGAGGCGAAACACAUAUUGGCCAUAUUGAUACUGUAUUUUUCCAUUAUUUUAUAUACUUUUUAUGUUAUAGUAUUUAAUAAAUUUAGUUCUAUCAUCCUAUCCAUUGGAUCCUCUGCAAUUUAUUGGGAACCAACUUCUAUUUGGACACACCAACUAUCCACAGAAGGGUUAGGAUCACCCUGGAAUAGAUCAUGG